UGACCUGCGGAAGGAUCAUUACCGAGUGAGGGCCCUCUGGGUCCAACCUCCCACCCGUGUUUAUUUUACCUUGUUGCUUCGGCGGGCCCGCCUUAACUGGCCGCCGGGGGGCUUACGCCCCCGGGCCCGCGCCCGCCGAAGACACCCUCGAACUCUGUCUGAAGAUUGUAGUCUGAGUGAAAAUAUAAAUUAUUUAAAACUUUCAACAACGGAUCUCUUGGUUCCGGCAUCGAUGAAGAACGCAGCGAAAUGCGAUACGUAAUGUGAAUUGCAAAUUCAGUGAAUCAUCGAGUCUUUGAACGCACAUUGCGCCCCCUGGUAUUCCGGGGGGCAUGCCUGUCCGAGCGUCAUUGCUGCCCUCAAGCACGGCUUGUGUGUUGGGCCCCGUCCUCCGAUCCCGGGGGACGGGCCCGAAAGGCAGCGGCGGCACCGCGUCCGGUCCUCGAGCGUAUGGGGCUUUGUCACCCGCUCUGUAGGCCCGGCCGGCGCUUGCCGAUCAACCCAAAUUUUUAUCCAGGUUGACCUCGGAUCAGGUAGGGAUACCCGCUGAACUUAAGCAUAUCAAUAA
rnacentral:rRNA from 1 species